rnacentral:rRNA from 1 species
GACGAACGCUGGCGGCGUGCUUAACACAUGCAAGUCGAACGGUAAGGCCCUUCGGGGUACACGAGUGGCGAACGGGUGAGUAACACGUGGGUGAUCUGCCCUGCACUUCGGGAUAAGCCUGGGAAACUGGGUCUAAUACCGGAUAGGACCCUGGGAUGCAUGUCCUGGGGUGGAACGCUUUUGCGGUGUGGGAUGGGCCCGCGGCCUAUCAGCUUGUUGGUGGGGUGAUGGCCUACCAAGGCGACGACGGGUAGCCGGCCUAAGAGGGUGACCGGCCACACUGGGACUGAGAUACGGCCCAGACUCCUACGGGAGGCAGCAGUGGGGAAUAUUGCACAAUGGGCGCAAGCCUGAUGCAGCGACGCCGCGUGAGGGAUGACGGCCUUCGGGUUGUAAACCUCUUUCAGCACCGACGAAGCGCAAGUGACGGUAGGUGCAGAAGAAGGACCGGCCAACUACGUGCCAGCAGCCGCGGUAA